AGAGUUUGAUCCUGGCUCAGAACGAACGUUAGCGGCGCGCUUAACACAUGCAAGUCGCAGGAGAAAGGGCUUCGGCCCCGGUAAAGUGGCGCACGGGUGAGUAACACGUGGGUAAUCUUCCCUAGAGCGGGGGAUAACAUUCCGAAAGGAGUGCUAAUACCGCAUAAGACCACGUCCUCGAAAGAGGAUGAGGUUAAAGCAGGCCUCUUCACGAAAGCUUGCACUCUAGGAUGAGCCCGCGGCCCAUCAGCUAGUUGGUAGGGUAAUGGCCUACCAAGGCUAAGACGGGUAGCUGGUCUGAGAGGAUGAUCAGCCACACUGGAACUGAGACACGGUCCAGACUCCUACGGGAGGCAGCAGUGGGGAAUCUUGCGCAAUGGGCGAAAGCCUGACGCAGCGACGCCGCGUGGGUGAUGAAGGCCUUCGGGUUGUAAAGCCCUGUG
rnacentral:rRNA from 1 species